rnacentral:rRNA from 1 species
UUCUGUGCUAAGGUAGCAUAAUCAUUAGUUCUUUAAUUGUGAUCUGGUAUGAAUGGCUUGACGAGACAUAAGCUGUCUUGGAAGUAUUAUUUAUUGAAUUUGGUUUUUGAGUUAAAAUUCUUAAAUGUUUUUAUGGGACGAGAAGACCCUAUAGAGUUUUACAGUUUUCCCAUUUAUUUGUUGUUUGUUUGUUUUUGUUGAGUGGGAAGGAUUGUUUUGUUGGGGUGAUGGGAGGAAUAAUAUUUAACUCCUCUUUGAUUUUGUAUAUUUAUUUAUAUGUAUUUGAUCCAUUUAUUUUGAUUAUAAGAUUAAAUUACCUUAGGGAUAACAGCGUUAUCUUCCCUUGAGAUUUUUUGGGGU